rnacentral:miRNA from 1 species
AAUAUUCUAUUUAUGGAGUAUAGUCGCGCGGCUAUACGUUUGAAAUAUUGUAUUUAAAGAGUAUAGCUGUGCGGCUAUACACUUUAAAUAUAUUAUG